rnacentral:rRNA from 1 species
UACGGAGGGUGCAAACGUUGCUCGGAAUUAUUGGGCGUAAAGCGCGCGUAGGCGGCCGAUCAAGUUGGAUGUGAAAUCCCUGGGCUCAACCCAGGACGUGCACCCAAAACUGAUUGGCUUGAGUGCCGGAGGGGGUCAGAGAAUUCCCGGUGUAGAGGUGAAAUUCGUAGAUAUCGGGAGGAAUACCAGUGGCGAAGGCGCUGACCUGGACGGUUACUGACGCUGAGGCGCGAAAGCGUGGGGAGCAAACAGG